GCCCCGCGGAGAGCUGGUGCUGGCUGGCUCUGGGUCUUGGCACAAGAUGAACCCCCAAACUGCAAAGUGGAAAAGGUGCUGCACUUUUGGAUCACUGCAGUAGAGCAUUAGAAAUAAUUCAGGAGUUCCUGAGAAAACUGGGUGCCAUUUCUUCGCUCCGUGAUCUCUUCUGGUUCAUCUCCACCUUUGCAGAUUUUUUCCGGUGUUAUAAUAAGGAAAAAGAGAAGGCACAUGCUCAAGCACUCUGGAAAAUAAUUCAACAUUUUUCACUAAAAUGACUUCUAAAUACAGAAAGAUCCAUACUGGGGAAUAUCAGUCACCUGAC